rnacentral:rRNA from 1 species
AUUGAACGCUGGCGGCAGGCCUAACACAUGCAAGUCGAGCGAAAAUUUGAGAGCUUGCUCUCAAAUUUUAGCGGCGGACGGGUGAGUAACACGUGGGCAACCUACCUUGUAGAUUGGGAUAACUCCGGGAAACCGGGGCUAAUACCGAAUAAUCCAUUUUGCUUCAUGGCGAGAUGUUGAAAGACGGUUUCGGCUGUCACUACAAGAUGGGCCCGCGGCGCAUUAGCUAGUUGGUAGGGUAAUGGCCUACCAAGGCGACGAUGCGUAGCCGACCUGAGAGGGUGAUCGGCCACACUGGGACUGAGACACGGCCCAGACUCCUACGGGAGGCAGCAGUAGGGAAUCUUCCACAAUGGACGAAAGUCUGAUGGAGCAACGCCGCGUGAGUGAAGAAGGUUUUCGGAUCGUAAAACUCUGUUGUAAGGGAAGAACACGUACGAGAGUAACUGCUCGUACCUUGACGGUACCUUAUUAGAAAGCCACGGCUAACUACGUG